rnacentral:rRNA from 1 species
GAUGAACGCUGGCGGCGUGCUUAAUACAUGCAAGUCGAACGGAGAGCUAGAAAUAGUUCUUAGUGGCGAACGGGUGAGUAACGCGUUGGUGACCUGCCCCGAAGAGGGGGAUAACAGUUCGAAAGGACUGCUAAUACCCCAUGAGGUCAUAGAGGUUAGAGGCUUUAUGACGGAAGGAGAAAUCCGCUUCGGGAGGGGCCUGCGUCCCAUCAGCUAGUUGGUAGGGUAAAGGCCUACCAAGGCAAAGACGGGUAGGGGACCUGAGAGGGUGAUCCCCCACACUGGCACUGAAACACGGGCCAGACACCUACGGGUGGCAG